AGAAGCCGCUGCGAUAGUGCUAAAAAUAUUUUACAUUCUAUAAUUGUACAAAUUAUAUAAAUAUUUGCACAGUGUUUGGCCACAGAUUUGUUCGGCCAAUUGUUUGUAUUUUCCGCCAGCCGAAUGUGGAUCAAGUUUAAGUUUAUUACCAACGGAUAAGGAAAGGAGUUUGCCAAGCCCAAGGUGGCUCAUUCGCCAGUCGAAAUUCGUAAGUAAAUUCCGUGAGAAAACACAAGUGUGUAUAGAGCAUUGCUGCGUCGAAAAUGAAAACAAAAUGCGGUUUAACGUGUGAAUUGGAUGUUCGUGACGGAAUGAAAGCGCCAAAAUACUCGUUCGUAGCGAACCGAAGCGGUAAUACCCUAUAAAAUAUUAUUAAACCAUUAUUGAGCAAGCGCACAUUUUUUUAAACAAACCUCGGAAUUUCCAAUGAAUAAAAUGAUUCAUUACAAAUGAAUAUUAGUUGCAUUCAUUUAAGGAUGACUUUAUGAAAAGCCCUAUAUUUCAAAUGGAGAAAGCUCCGAAAUAGUUAGUAAUACUUGAGUAUUGUUAAAUAGUAAACUAUUUUCCUUAAAACUUCGCUAUGAAGCAAAGUCUUCUGAAAUGCACAAUGGGUUGCUUCAAAUUGUUUACGUUAAAAUUCCAAAUGGGAAUUUUACAGCGCCCAUUUGUUGUGGAUAACUUGUUGUUGUUAUUGAACAUUUUACGCCGAAUUGUAAGAUAGCACAAACAAAAUUAAAAUAUCAGUAGUAGACAACAUUUGUUCAUAA
rnacentral:sRNA from 1 species